AGUAUUUUUAUUUAAUUUUCUAAUUUAGUUAUAAAUAUACUUCCAUAAAUAUGUCUCUUAUAAUUGCCUCAAAGAGAAAGGCAGACAACUCUAGACCACCAUGUUCAAAAGAAUCGAGGGAGCUUCUGAUUUCAGCUGCUCCAUUUCGAUUAUGAACGAAAAGCUUGGCUAAUUUCAAGAAGUUCGGCAUAUUCUUGGCUACCAUUACCAUUUAGUUGACACACACCUUGCACCACCAAAAGUUGUUAUACAAAUAAUAGUGAAGGAAUUAGAGCCGCAAUGGAAUAUGAAAUUUAGUUUAUGAUCAGUUACCAGAGUUGGCUACACAAAAAAAUUAAAUAAACUUGUGGUUGAAUAUAAAACAUGUUCGAAGAGAAAAUCAACUUUAAACUUUUAAAAAAUUGACCAUUCUGAUAAUAAGUAACUGAUACUAAAAAAACCUGGAUCUUAAUUAUCCAGAACAAUUAUAUACAGAAUCAAGCUCUCAAAAUGAUGACGACUCUGAUGGUUUUGAGCUUUCGUUUAAAUCACCCAUAAAAUGAUGGUUUUGAGCUUUCGUUUAAAUCACCCAUAAAAAAACUUAAAUCAAAAGUAAUAUUACUUGUUGUGGUUUGUGCAGAAGCUGAAAUCUUUACCCACAAAAGAGCUAGAGUAACUCACUCAUUAAGCUAUUUCCAUUAUUACUAUUUUUAGAGCUGGUAAAAGGUUGCAAGUCAUAACUUUUUUUAAACCUAAGAUAGUUUUGUCAAUUGAGAAACUUAUUUUAUCUUUUGAUGGUAACACCUGCUCUGUCAAUUCUGGUUUGUAAAGGCAUUGCUUGAAUAUGAAUAUUUUACACAAACUGGAGCUACCAACUAAACUGCAACAACUAAAUCUUACUGGGCUUGUUUCCUAUUCCAGAAGAAAGACAAUCAUUAAAAGAAAUAACUAAGUUUAUUAGCUGUUCUUGGUCACACGCAUGGUUUAAAAUGAGUGAGAAACUCAAUUGGGUGAACCUGAAAGAGGCCACAUCAGCCUGCAUUACAGCCCAAGAAGCUCUGACCAGACAAAUUCUUGAUGUUAAAACCACAUUAAAAAAUAUGCAUAGAACGAAUGAGGUUGCUGAGAGAGGGCUCUGAGCUAUGAAAAUCCGAGCAUACCGGACUAAGUCUGAUGAUGCUCUUGAGAACCUUUUCUUAACUGAAAUGUUUAUUAUAAUGUCUAAUCAACAAUACUAUAACUUUUUAAA